rnacentral:misc_RNA from 1 species
AAUCAAAAAAGGAAAAAAUUCAUUCCGGUUGCAAUUCUGCUGCUGCCAUUUCCAAUUCUUAAUUCUCAAGUUUGAACCAAAUGGGCCUUAAAUCUUAUCCAAUAGUUGGAAGCUUAUGCGUUCAAUGUGCAUUGAGUUUGUUAAAUAAUUUCAAGAAGAAAAAUAUUGAUGUGUUGAUGACAAAACAAAUGAAAUCAGCCUAGAGAACUGUUCAUUUGAAAUGCUAGUGCAUACCUGUUAGUGUUCAUUGAUACAACAAAGCAUAACACAAGCAUGACAUGCCAGUAAUAGCAGACAAGCAAUGCCAUUUACAUGUCAACCUAAUCAGGACACCAAAACAUUGUGAUCCUCCAAAACUUAUCAGUGACAGUUUUAUCAUUCCCUCUGGAACGUAUCAUCACACAUAAAAACUGGAAAUCAAAGAAAAAGAAUGCCUCUUCAAGCUCAUUCAUUCUCCAAUAUGGUUGUACCCCACCUUCUUGCUACGUACCUUAAUGUGCUUCAUGCAAUAGGAACAACCCACAUAGUCGGAGACACUGAUGGAUGGACACUCUUCACCAAUUCCUCCAACUGGGUCCAGGGAAAAGACUUUCACGUUGGCGAUGUCCUUGGUAAGUUUACAUGCACAAAUGAACAGUUCCAGGCAUAUGCAGACACUCUCACACGAACAGAACACACAGAAUUGUCGAUCAUGUACAGAGUUUCUAAGCUGACAUUUAUAUUCUGCAACUACAUAAACAGGUUAUUUUUUAAAUUGUUGCAAUUAUCAAGAAUGACGUUUUGCCACAUAUAUCUUAUCCUCGCAGAGUUCAAUUACGAAACAGGCUUGCACAAUGUGAUGCAAGUGAAUUCAACAGCCUAUGAAGGAUGCAUAAAAGACACGUACAUGGGACUGUUUACAGGCGGUAAUGACUCGCUGUUCUUAUCAGAGGUUGGCCGAAUCUGGUUCAUAUGUGGAGUAAGUGAUCACUGUGAAAAUGGCCAGAAGUUGACCAUCAAUGUGGUUCCAUAGAUUUGGAGGAACACCAGAACACGUGCCCAUAUUAGUUUCUUGAAUUCCUUGAAUAAAUCAAACUGCUGUUUCUUAAGAGUUCUCCAAAUAAAACACAAAUCUCACAAACUGAGGAAGUUUCAGUUUUUCUGUUACAAAAAAUGUCAUGCAAUAACCAGACAUUCUUGGUCAACACAAAUUAUAGAGAUGCACACCCACCCCUCUCUCUCUCUCUCUCUCUAGAGAGAGAGAGAGAGAGAGGGGUGGGUGUGCAUCUCUAUAAUUUGUGUUGACCAAGAAUGUCUGGUUAUUGCAUGACAUUUUUUGUAACAGAAAAACUGAAACUUCCUCAGUUUGUGAGAUUUGUGUUUUAUUUGGAGAACUCUUAAGAAACAGCAGUUUGAUUUAUUCAAGGAAUUCAAGAAACUAAUAUGGGCACGUGUUCUGGUGUUCCUCCAAAUCUAUGGAACCACAUUGAUGGUCAACUUCUGGCCAUUUUCACAGUGAUCACUUACUCCACAUAUGAACCAGAUUCGGCCAACCUCUGAUAAGAACAGCGAGUCAUUACCGCCUGUAAACAGUCCCAUGUACGUGUCUUUUAUGCAUCCUUCAUAGGCUGUUGAAUUCACUUGCAUCACAUUGUGCAAGCCUGUUUCGUAAUUGAACUCUGCGAGGAUAAGAUAUAUGUGGCAAAACGUCAUUCUUGAUAAUUGCAACAAUUUAAAAAAUAACCUGUUUAUGUAGUUGCAGAAUAUAAAUGUCAGCUUAGAAACUCUGUACAUGAUCGACAAUUCUGUGUGUUCUGUUCGUGUGAGAGUGUCUGCAUAUGCCUGGAACUGUUCAUUUGUGCAUGUAAACUUACCAAGGACAUCGCCAACGUGAAAGUCUUUUCCCUGGACCCAGUUGGAGGAAUUGGUGAAGAGUGUCCAUCCAUCAGUGUCUCCGACUAUGUGGGUUGUUCCUAUUGCAUGAAGCACAUUAAGGUACGUAGCAAGAAGGUGGGGUACAACCAUAUUGGAGAAUGAAUGAGCUUGAAGAGGCAUUCUUUUUCUUUGAUUUCCAGUUUUUAUGUGUGAUGAUACGUUCCAGAGGGAAUGAUAAAACUGUCACUGAUAAGUUUUGGAGGAUCACAAUGUUUUGGUGUCCUGAUUAGGUUGACAUGUAAAUGGCAUUGCUUGUCUGCUAUUACUGGCAUGUCAUGCUUGUGUUAUGCUUUGUUGUAUCAAUGAACACUAACAGGUAUGCACUAGCAUUUCAAAUGAACAGUUCUCUAGGCUGAUUUCAUUUGUUUUGUCAUCAACACAUCAAUAUUUUUCUUCUUGAAAUUAUUUAACAAACUCAAUGCACAUUGAACGCAUAAGCUUCCAACUAUUGGAUAAGAUUUAAGGCCCAUUUGGUUCAAACUUGAGAAUUAAGAAUUGGAAAUGGCAGCAGCAGAAUUGCAACCGGAAUGAAUUUUUUCCUUUUUUGAUU